rnacentral:rRNA from 1 species
UACAGAGGUCUCAAGCGUUGUUCGGAUUCAUUGGGCGUAAAGGGUGCGUAGGCGGCGCGGUAAGUCGGAUGUGAAAUCUCGGAGCUUAACUCCGAAACUGCAUUCGAUACUGCCGUGCUUGAGGACUGGAGAGGAGACUGGAAUUUACGGUGUAGCGGUGAAAUGCGUAGAUAUCGUAAGGAAGACCAGUGGCGAAGGCGGGUCUCUGGACAGUUCCUGACGCUGAGGCGCGAAGGCUAGGGGAGCAAACGGG